rnacentral:rRNA from 1 species
CCCUUAGAUGUCCUGGGCCGCACGCGCGCUACACUGAGUGUCUGAGAUACGAGUCUGCCUGGUCCGGCAAGGUCUAGGUAAUCGCUAAAAGACACAUCAUGCUUGGGAUAGAUUAUUGCAAAUAUUAAUCUUGAACGAGGAAUUCCUAGUAAGCGCAAGUCAACAGCUUGCGUUUAUUACGUCCCUGCCCUUUGUACACACCGCCCGUCGCUACUACUGAUUGGAUGUUUAAGCGAGGUUCUCGGACUGCUAGCGACUUAGCUUCGGUGAGGUCGCAGUGUGGGAAGUGAACCUAGCUUUGGUGUCUAGAGGAAGUAAAAGUCGUAACA